UAAAGUUACUUAAAGAGACAAAAUGUGCAGCAGGCAACCUCAGUGAGGAGAGGGACCCUGAAAGGUUGGGGAGAGUGUUAUGGGUCUCAGAUCAGGCACGCUGGAGCAGGAGUAAGGAAACAGAUCCUCACAGAAACGUAGAUUAUAAAAAGGGAGCCUUUAUUUUAGCCGGCUGGCAUCUGCCAAGGAGCAAGCUCUCCAAGUGCAGCCCCGAGCCUCUGUUACAACAUCUUUUUAAGCAUUUUUACCGCAUCCUGCUUAGUUUUUGCAACUUUUCCGCCUUCGCCUAAAUUCAGCAAGCUAUAUUCUUUGUUCAAUGCUCCGGGGGCUUAAGCAUCCUGUUUUGCCCACCUGCUGCAGGAAAUGUGUGAAACUGUUGGUCUCUAACAAAGCAAUGUACAGAAGCAAAAAUAGCGUGGAGUUAGUUGAACAUCCUGUUUCUCAUGGGAUUUAUAUCUUUUCCUUUAGUUUCUCAGAAGUUGGUACGUGUCUAGGGUCUGGGCUAACUUUACAGAGAGCUUUGUUUCCUAUUUUUAUGUCUGAAAUUGCUUCAGCCCCUCACAUUCCCCCCUCUCCUUGUAACAGAGUCAAACCAUUGACUCUUCAGUUUUUUUUUUUUUGGCUUUGUAAUGUUCUUUAAUGAAAAGUAGCUUUAUUGCCACUAGUCUCUUCUGAAUAUAACUCAUGAGACAAUUUAUAACAGAGGGCCCUAUAGUAACUACAAGCAGGAGGAGAGCAAGGGGACCUGCAAGGGCUGUCAGGAGGGUUGUUGGCCAAGGGGACUAUGAGAACAGGCCUUGAUACCAGUUUGCUGUUGCUUCCCUCUGAACCUCUUUCUUUGAGGUUCUGUCUCACCAUAGCCAAAGUAUCUUGAAUAAUGCCUUAUUUGUCUGCAUAGAAGCAGCAGGUUUCACUUAAUGCCAUGCAAAAUCCCUCUUUUUUCAUAAAGAGGAGGUCCAGCCCUCCCCUAUUUUGCAAGACUACCCCUGCUAGGGAGUCUACAGCUGACUCUAACUGAUGGACUUAGCUCUCUAACGUCCCUAGAUCUUUAUCUACUUGUUUACUGAGCACUUUGAAAUUGGCAUUAUUUACAACAAAAGAAGCAGUCCCUACUGCUACUGAUCCUGCUAUUCUCAGCCCAACUAGGAGGGGCACUAGGAUGGGGGCUGCUCUUUUUGUUCUAAGAGAAUAUAUUAAGCCCAUGUGUUCUCUACCGGCUUCCCUGUUAUAAACUUGAGGGAGGAUGUGAACCAAAAUAUAGAGCUCGGGUGCCCUUAGGUCUCCUACACUAGCUGUUAUUAAUUGCUCAAACAAGGGGUUAAUCUGCUGGUACAAGCAAACCACGUGGCAGAUGGGCUAACCAGGAAGUUAACUUUUUCACUAGAGGCGGGGGAAGUGUAGUUUAGAGUAGUUUCACAGUUUCUGAAGAUGAGGAUUUUUGGUUGAAUAUGAAGGGGAAUGGAUGCAAAACCCUGUGCCUUGCACAUCUCCCAAGGGCUACUUCUCCGGCUGCCAGGUCAGCUGCAUGGUUUCCCCUUGCCUCAGUCAAAUUUUCCAAGAGGUAAAGAGAGUCCUCCUGAUAAGAAGUUAGACCAGGUGAACAUAAGAGCAAGUCAUACACAUAUUGGAUCAAGGUACUGCCGAGUCACUGCCAGGUGUCAGGGAGAGCAGAUUUUGCUGGGCAUGAAAGCUAUGUGUGCAAGAUGAAUGAGCUUGGUGUGGAUCCUGUUCGUUUGUUUCUCACACUACAGCUGGCCAGCUUGUGUGGACCCACGUUGUCCCCUCUAUAUUUGGGUGCUGCUUCCACAUAAUGGAGACCUGUAAAACAGAGCAUGUCAGAUAAAGGGACACCUAUUCUGCGGUCCGGUGCCCACCUGUGCAUAGCAGCAGAGCCUGCAUGUCCUGUCUUGUGAUGAAUCCAUCGUGCAAGUGCUAAUGUUUCAUCACUAAUGGGAGUAGAACAUUCCACUUCAGCUAUAGCUGCUAAGCAAUCCACAUCAGCGUUAUACUCACGUUCAACCGAAGUCUUCUUAGCGUGAGCGCCUACAUGGAACACAGACAGGUAUCUUUCUAGACGUCGUUGGCUGAAGAACAUUGACAUCUUAACAUUUGAAUUUGCUUGAUGCCUUAGGAUGAAGAUCACCCGACUGAACAUGCAAGGAGAACAAAAGCAAAAAUACACAAGUGGGACUACAUCAAACUAAAACCCUUCUGCACAUCGAAGGAAAUCAUCUGCAAAAUGAAAAGGCAACCUACUGUAUGGGAGAAAGAUAAAAAUGCUCUUAAAUUAUGUAGUGUUGAUAGUUGCCCGGCUCUGUGUAUAUAAAAAACACAGUCUUGUACACUGUAAAAGUUGAGUUUUAUGGUAUUUGAGUUAUAUCUUAAUAAAGCUGUUUUUUAGAAAGAAUAUGUAUAGUAACCUAAAAUGUUCAUAAAUAUAUUGCUAGGUUUACAUACAUAUAUGUAUGUGUGCGUAUGUGUACAUAUAUAUAUAUCAGUAUAAAAAUUACAGAAUUAUCUUUAAAUUAUAUACACAACAAAAAAUAUAAAGGAAAUGAUAUGUGACAGAUAUCCCCAAUGCAACCUCUUUGCCAGAGUGGCAAUGUUGCAAACAAAAAUAUCAAAACUAAGCUAUUUCUCAGGCAGAACCUUCAUGGUGGUUCUAACGUAGACCCUGUUUGCUUUCCAACCCUGGUUUUCCAGCUCUCUUAUUGAUGACAUGUACAACCUGAUAUCCUUGGAUAAGAUUUAUUUUUGAUUCAAUGAUCCUGAGCGUUCUGUUGUUCAUAACCGCACACCCUGAUUAAUGCAGAGGUUGGCAGAUGUAAGUGCUAUUUACAGUCAUAGAGGGAAAAGAAACAUUUUAUUUCUAAAACCACUUUAUUGAGGUGUGAUUGAUGUACAAAUACCUGUACAUAUUUAAUAUAUACAAAUUGAUUUAAAGAAAUUUCUAAGAGAGAAAACGUACAAGGAAGAAAAGAGAGCCCCAGGCCUCAACAUAGAGCAUGUCAGCUUGAAGAGGAGUUUAGAGGAAGAGGAGCCAAAAAAUGAACCAAAGAAUAGAAUUCACACAAGAAGGAAGAAAACCAGAGGAGCGUGGUUUCUUGAAAUCCAGAAGAUUCAAGGGAAAGGAAGUAGGCAGCACAUUCCAUGCUACUAAGUAGUGAAACAGGGGCAGAGGAAUGAUGUUUGAUUUAACAUCAGAAAGUUGUUGGAGAACAAGAAAGAAACAAUGUAGAGGACAGAAGGGGAUGCAAGAAUUGUUGGAGGGGGAGAUGAGGAAGCAGAGACAACCCAUUUAGAAAACAUAUCAUGAAAGUUUGGCUGUGAAGAACAGCAGAUAUGUAAACAGUAAAUAGUAGGGAAGUAUCAUCAAAGGAAGGAAUUUGUUUAAGACAGAGAAUAGUGGAGCAUGAUGGUAUAAUGAUGGGAAUGACCACUAGAGCAGGAGAAUAUGAAGAUGCAAGAGCCACAGUGGUUAUCUGUAGGGAUAACAUAUUUUAAAGGGUGAAAGUGAAGAUGAGAUGCACUGGAAAUGCUAGAUUUGUUAAAAUUAUGACCCACCUGCCCCAUGCUUCAUACUCUUACUUAAAGACAAGCUGGCACCUACAUCCCCAUGGAUGGCCAAAUUGAGAAUGAAGGGUUAACAAACCAGUAAUGGCCAGAAGAUGAAGGAAUGGGAUUUGAAGUCCAUGAACUCAAGACUGAGUAAUAGAGUUUAAUGUAGAAUGACAAAUUUUAAAUUUGAGAAAUGUGUUGGCUAGGGGUUAUUAUGUGCCACUGAUAGUUCUUUGGCAUGUAUGUGAAUGUGUGUUGUAUGUUCAGAGUUGGGGAAGGGUGGAGCUGUGGAAAGAUCAUGUUGUUAAGUAAAAAGAUUGUCCCUACAAUGAAGCAAAUUAGUAGAGGGGACUUUCUCCUUUACAGAGGGAGGAAAGGGCAGUCCUCAAGACAGAGAAGAAAAACUAGGAACAAGGAUCAACCCAGAAUGAAAUCUGGAGAUGGGUGAUUUUAUUCCUGGACUUUAAGGAUCAUUGAUACUUAGCCAUCAUAUCCUAGUAGUUUUGUUCCAUAUUAUAAUUCCCUCUAGUUCCUCUAGUUAUAUUUACCCUGUCAUUAAAAUCUGCUGCUCCUGUAAUAUCUAGACAGGUAUUUGGGGAUAUUUAAGAAGUAGGGCUGUGGGGAGGUGGAGGUGAUGCCUGAAGCAGCAUGGGAGGCUCUACGAGAUUGGGAAAUCCUUGAGGAAACAGGAUGCCGAAGUGGUGGCAGGGGCCAUGUGUAAGCUAUUUCUCACAGUAUGAAGAAAGGCCAUAGGAGAAGGAUGUACUCCUCUGAGAAGCAUGAGAAGAGGCAGCAUGAGAAUGCCAGCUGUGAGGUGCAGUGGAGGGGGUAAAAAAUUCCAUGAAGAUUGAGAAAGCAUUGUUGCAAAGCACUGUGGAGAAGGUAAAGGAUGUAGUGGUGACUGAGAUCGAGGCACUUUAUGGGGCAGCUGUGGGAUUAAUGGGAUUAGUACAUAAAUCAAGUAAUAUAGAAGUCAAAUGUACAAAUACAUAUGACUUGAUUGUUUUUCCUACAACUCUUGAUGUGAGAUCAAAACCAGAAUGAUUAGAGCCAAAACAGUUCCCACAACUCGUGACCGGCCUCACAUGGUUUCGGUAUCCUUGAGGAGCGUCAUGCCCCAGGGCUAGACUCAGGGUCAGAUAACAAUUGUGUGUUGUGUUGAACCCCUUACUGAGAAUUCUUUAGAUGUUUAAGUUCAUUUGCUCAAUAAAUAUGAGGAGUGCCUUUUCGGCAUUACUCUUGUGCUGUCACACCUUGAGUCCCCUGGCUGGCCUCUCAGAUCUUCAGCAUUCCGUCGCGUUCCCUCCAAAUCUGCGGGUCAGAGGCAGAGGGGAGCCAACAAGUGGCACCCGAACAGGGACCUCAGAGUGGGAAAGCUCCUGAAGAUCGUCGAUCCGGUAAGACUACCGGGAAAGCAUACAUAGAGCCAGGAUCGAGACGUCAGGCACACUAUAAUGGGCCAACAUGAAACUAAAGCAGAUAAUCCAGAGGAUUACACAAGCCCAUGGAAUUCCCCUGUAUUUGUUAUAAAGAAGAGGUCAGGAAAAUGGAGACUCUUACAUGACUUAAGACAAAUUAAUGCAGUCCUUAAAUCUAUGGGACCUUUACAACAAGACCUCCCUUCUCCGGCUAUAAAGACUGGGACAUGGCUAUCAAUGAUCUUAAAGAUUGUUUUCUUACUAUUCCUUUAGCUUUGGCAGGGAAAAGUUUGCUUUUACUGUAUGUACCCUCCUUAAAUUUACAAGCUCCUUCAGAAAGAUUCCAAUGGAAAGUAUUUCCUCAAGGAAUGUUAAAUAGCCCUACAGUUUGUCAAAAUUAUGUGCACAGGGCUCUCUUGUCCCCUCCUGGCGUAAGCCAGGAGCUCUGUCUGUUCUUUCACUUUAUCUCUAAAUAAAAGCCUCUCCCUGGCUCUCCUACCUUGGGUGUUUGCUAAGUUCAUUCUUUGACUCUGCAAACAAGAA